rnacentral:rRNA from 1 species
AACAAACGCUGGCGGUGUGCCUAACACAUGCAAGUCGUACGAGAAAGGGUCCUUCGGGACCUGAGUAAAGUGGCGCACGGGUGAGUAACGCGUGGAUAAUCUACCCUUCAGUUGGGAACAACUCAUCGAAAGGUGGGCUAAUACCGAAUAAUACUGCUCGACCUUGGUCGAGCAGCCAAAGAGAGCCUCUGCUUGCAAGCCCUCGCUGAAGGAUGAGUUCGCGUACCAUUAGCUUGUUGGUAGGGUAAUGGCCUACCAAGGCGACGAUGGUUAGCUGGUCGGAGAGGAUGAGCAGCCACACUGGAACUGAGACACGGUCCAGACUCCUACGGGAGGUAGCAGUGUGGAAUCUUGCGCAAUGGGGGAAACCCUGACGCAGCAACGCCGCGUGAGUGAGGAAGGUCUUCGGAUCGUAAAGCUCUGUCAGUUGGAAAGAAAUGUCUGAGAGUCAAUACCUUUCAGGCUUGACGGUACCAACAGAGGAAGCACCGGCUAACUCCGUGCCAGCCGCCGCCGUAAGAC